rnacentral:rRNA from 1 species
AUCUCAGGGCAAGCGUAUACGGGCGCACGACGGAUGCCUUGGCACCAGCAGGCGAUGAAGGACGCGGUAAGCUGCGAUAAGCCACGGGGAGCGGCAAACACGCUUUGAUCCGUGGGUUUCCGAAUGGGGCAACCCCGCACCUUUCAUAGGGUGUGACCCCGCGCUGAAUACAAUAGGCGCGGUGGAGCGAUACCCGGGGAAGUGAAACAUCUCAGUACCCGGAGGAAAAGAAAUCAAACGAGAUUCCGCAAGUAGUGGCGAGCGAACGCGGAUCAGCCCAAACCAGGGAGCUUGCUCCCUGGGGUUGUGGGACCGUCACAACGACGCAAGCAGCGGCAGGGGAACGGCCUGGAAAGGCCGGCCACAGGGGGUGAUAGCCCCGUACCCGAAGCCCCGGCUGCGUCAGACGGUAUCCCGAGUAAGGCGGGGCACGUGAAACCCUGCCUGAAUCUGGGGGGCCCACCCUCCAAGGCUAAAUACUCGCUGGUGACCGAUAGUGAACGAGUACCGUGAGGGAAAGGUGAAAAGAACCCCGUGAGGGGAGUGAAACAGACCUGAAAUCGUGCGCCCACAAGCUAUGGGAGCGCCGCAAGGCGUAACCGUUUGCCUUUUGCAUAAUGAGUCCGCGAGUCACCCUGUGCGGCAAGGCCGAUCCCGAGAGGGAACAGCCGCAGCGAAAGCGAGCGCGAAACGCGCGACCAGUCGCACGGGGUGGACCCGAAGCCCAUGUGAGCUACCCCAGAGCAGGCUGAAGUCCCCGUAACAGGGGAUGGAGGGCCGAACGAGUGACCGUUGAAAAGGUCUUCGAUGACUUUGGGGUUGGAGUGAAAGGCUUAUCAAACUGGGUGAUAGCUGGUUCUCCUCGAAAUGUAUUGAGGUACAGCCUCCCGUAAUGCGUCGCGCGGGGGUAGAGCACUGAUUGGUCUAGGGCCCCUACCGGGGUACCGAAGCCUGUCAAACUCCGAAUACCGCGCGUAUGUCAACGGGGGAGUGAGGCCGUGGGGGCUAAGCUUCAUGGCCGAAAGGGAAACAGCCCAGAUCGCCGUCUAAGGCCCCUAAAGGUGGCUCAGUCACUAAGGAUGUGAGGUUUCGUAGACAGCCAGGAUGUUGGCUUAGAGGCAGCCAUCAUUUAAACAGUGCGUAACAGCUGACUGGUCGAGAGAUCUUGCGCCGAAAAUGAUCGGGAGUCAAGCCACCUGCCGAAGACGCGGGACGCCGAAAGGCGUCGGUAGAGGAGCGUGCCGCGACGGGUUGAAGCGGAAGCGGAAGCGACCGUGGACUGCGCGGCAGUGAUUAUGCGGACAUGAGUAACGAAAAGAUGGGUGGAAAUCCCAUCCGCCGGAAUCCCAAGGUUUCCCGGGGUAGGUUCGUCCGCCCGGGGUCAGUCGGGACCUAAGUCGAGGCCGAAAGGCGUAGACGACGGACACACGGUUAACAUUCCGUGACCGGUAGCUCGAGUUAUCCGAUGGGGAUGGCGGAAGGCUAAUGAUUAGGGCUGAUGGAUGCCCUUCGAAGCGCACAGGGCGCCAGGCAGGAAAAUCCGCCUGGCACAAGCCAGAUGCGUUAGGUAGGUUGGAGCAAUCCAGCCAAGUUCAUGACGUCAAGCCGACAAGAAAAACCCCUAAGGUUGAGCUACCGCCCGUACCAAAACCGACACAGGUGGGAGGGUACUAACAUACCCAGGCGCGCGAGAGAACCCUCGUUAAGGAACUCGGCACACUAGCCCCGUAACUUAGGGAGAAGGGGUCCCCCGCAAGGGGGCACAGUAAACGGGCCCAUGCGACUGUUUAACAAAAACACAGCACUCUGCCAACCUGCAAGGGGACGUAUAGAGUGUGACACGUGACCAAUGCGGAAAGGUCAAGGCAAGGGGUUAGCCGCAAGGCGAAGCUCCGAACCAAAGCCCCCGUGAAUGUCGGCCGUAACUAUAACGGUCCUAAGGUAGCGAAAUUCCUUGUCGGGUAAGUUCCGACCUGCACGAAUCGUGUAACGAUAUGGGCGCUGUCUCAACGAGGAUCUCGGUGAAGUUGUAAUGCCGGUGAAAAUGCCGGAUUCCCGCAGAAGGACGGAAAGACCCUGUGAACCUUUACUGUAUUCUGGCACUGUCGCCUGUUCGUGCAUGUGUAGCAUAGCCGGGAGCCUGCGAAGCCGCCGCGUUAGCGGUGGUGGAGGCACCAGUGAAAUACCGGUCUUGCGCGGGCGGUCGUCUAACGUCGAGCCGUCAUCCGGCCGACGGACAACGCCAGAGGGUCAGUUUGACUGGGGCGGUUUCCUCCCAAAGAGUAACGGAGGAGUUCGAAGGUCACCUCAGCACGGUCAGCAAUCGUGCGAAGAGCGCAAGGGCAGAAGGUGGCUUAACUGCGAGACCGACAGGUCGAGCAGAUGCGAAAGCAGGACCUAGUGAUCCGGCGGUAGCUCGUGGCAGCGCCGUCGCUCAACGGAUAAAAGGUACUCCGGGGAUAACAGGCUGAUCGCCGCCGAGAGUCCAUAUCGACGCGGCGGUUUGGCACCUCGAUGUCGGCUCAUCGCAUCCUGGGGCUGGAGAAGGUCCCAAGGGUUUGGCUGUUCGCCAAUUAAAGCGGUACGCGAGCUGGGUUCAGAACGUCGUGAGACAGUUCGGUCCUUAUCCUCUGCGGGCGCAGGCGGUUUGAGGAGGGCAUUCCCUAGUACGAGAGGACCGGGAAUGACGCACCUCUGGUGUUCCGGUUGUCGCGCCAGCGGCAUCGCCGGGUAGCUAUGUGCGGAACGGAUAAGCGCUGAAAGCAUCUAAGCGCCAAGCCAUCUCCAAGACAAGACCGCCCUCUGGCUUCGGCCAGACUAAAGGCGGGUUGAAGACUACGACCUUGAUAGGCCGGAGGUGUAAGCGCAGUAAUGCGUUGAGCUGACCGGUACUAAUACGCCGAGUGGUUUGCCCUUUU